rnacentral:misc_RNA from 1 species
AAGAAACACUCGAGGAUGUUGCUGGCCCUGGCACAUACGGGGCAUGUGCACUCCUUGAAACAUUCUGACCCAUUCUUACACCUGUGCAUUAUUUGUAGGCACUGGGGAAUUGAAACUCCUUGGGGUCUAUGUAUUUUAUAUUCUUACAAACACUUUUGAAUGUUAUCAAUUUGGCCCUCACGAAGUACUUCAGAAAAUGAAGCCUUUGUGCUGGUUCCAAAGUUAUUUUUAAUAAUUAACA